GGCAUCUCGCUGUCUGCGCUGGGCACGGAGCGGCGCGCGCGCGCCCGUCUUUCCCUCGGCGGCCCCCGCGGCUCGGACCCGGGCCGGCAGACAGGCCAUCCAUCAUCCGCCCUCCUCCCGCGGAGCGCCGCAGCCGCCGCGGCCAAUCCGGCGGCAGGUGGGGCCGCACCUGCGCGACAGCCCGCCGCUUCCCUCCGCUCCCUUCGCCGCGCCUCGCGUGCUAGCGGUGCCCUUGUGAGCCACUGCGUUCUCCAAGGCCAGAACGGGACAGUUGACGAUGGUCGUACUUCUCCAUGUUCUGAGACCAGUUUAAACAAAAACAAAAACCAGACAACAACCUUGCAAGGGAAAGAAUUCAGAGUAAAUAAACAGUCUUUUUCUGGGAAGUAAAAUAUUUCCCUAAGAUGGAGAAAUUGAGAUGAGAGCUCAUCCACAAGAUUACCCAUCAAUGAGCACCAAUAGCAACCAAAUCCACUAGAAGACUGGGAGCUUUUAAGUCAAGAAACUUACAUCAGUAUCAUCAUUCCAAGAAGCGGUAUCCAAGCUGUUUUAUCGAAAGUGCGCAUGGGAGGGAUCUCAUCAGAGAGAGAGACAUCUUCGCCACUGCCAUGAAGUUUCAAGUACAGAACUCUUCCUCGUAAUCAAACUAUUUCUAUGAACAAUUCACUCAUCAUUGUGGGAAAGUCUAUUUUUCAUCUUAACACACAAACAGACAAUAACAAAAUUUGUGAUUUGGAUAAUCUGGAUCUGAUGUUCAUGCUCAAAAUGGAGGCAAUUCGUAAUACUGGUCUGAAGCAUUUAGUCAUUCACUGAGCAGAUACGUUAGGAGCAACAGGCAUGGGCUGUGUUUUUCUAGGCACUGUGAACACAGCAGUCAACGAAGUCAAAAACCUGUGCUCUUAAGGGACAUGAAUUGCCAAAUGGAAACACUAAGUUUUUCUAUUUAUGACCUAAAGCUAGUCAAAUAUCUCCAGAAGUAAGGUAGCUGAGUGAAGUGGUUCAUAAUCUUUCCAUGGGAGCCAAAUCCUCGGUGCUGUGACUCUUUUAGAUAAAUGAUAGUAAAAAUGAAUCAAAAGUUAAUUAGCUUGCACCUCAAUAAUCCAGUCUCCAUCACUGAUGGUCAUCGUGGAAUCUGCGUACAGAGGCAGCUGUAUACAGAUGACAGAGACAGCUCUAACACGUGACACAUUUAAGCACACAGAGGCGGAAGGACAUAAAGUUCCUGGUUGAUUUCCCUUUGGUGUUUGUGGGGAAAUAUCAAGGUCAUAAAAAGUCAGUUUCUAAUAAUCCCUCCAGUCCUCCAUUCCAUUCCCUAAUUUGUAUGCAAUGGCAUUUAACAUUUUGACUUUGCUUAAAAUAAAAUGUGUGUUUGUUUU
rnacentral:lncRNA from 10 species